CAUGAUCCGAAAUCUGAACGUCAAUUUUCAUGAUUAUUUCACGAUGAAGAUCCUCACAUCAAUGAAUCAAAUAAUACGGACAUGCCUUUGGUAUUAGCAGGUGAGAAUACGUGUAUAUUGACUGAAAAGUUUAAGUUUAAAACGCAUUAGUUCACGUUCAAAAGAAAACUAAAUGUACACAUGUACUAGAUCUUUAUGUUUCAGUGUGCGUGUUUCGUAUCGUUCAGCCAAUUUUGCAUUGUUUUUGAACUUUGAUGCUUUUGACAAUCACUCGGUGCUUUCACCAUAUGCAACAAUACUUUCAUCAUUGAAUACCCACUUUCUAAGCCCACCAUGAACUACGAAGGUCAGUUAGUAUGUAAGGACACCAAUGAACAGACACUUUCCAAUUAUGGUACAUCAUAUACAUGGGUGGUCAAACUCACUGGAUGGUUUAUCAACAUAUAUAUAUAUACAGCCUUGCCCCAGGAAUUUUGCCCUGAAGUAACAUUGCAGUCUAUUGUCUCCUUUCUUUUUACAACCCUGGCAGCCAUGCAGAAGCUCACUUGAUCACUUGUGCUUGACAGCAAAUAAUAAUGUCUUGGACAAGUCAAAGAAUUUCCUCCAGUCUUACAGAGAAAUGACAGCUGAUAAAGAAUGCGGACACAAAGUAAAAGUGCUCUUCAACAUUUUGUUGAACAUUUCAGUCUGAUUUGGAAUUCAUCUUGCAAUAUUUCUGGAUUUGUAUAUUUGGAUAUAAGCGUCAAAUUUUCAACUUAUUGCCUAAACAGUUUUGCAUUAAAUAUUGCCAAUGUUUUCUAUUAUUAUUAUUUCCCUCCAAGAU